rnacentral:misc_RNA from 1 species
GAGAAGAACGCAGCGAAAUGCGAUACGUAAUGUGAAUUGCAGAAUUCAGUGAAUCAUCGAAUCUUUGAACGCAUAUUGCGCUCUCUGGUAUUCCGGAGAGCAUGCUUGUUUGAGUAUCAGUAAACACCUCAACUCCCCUUUCUUUUUUUGAAAUGGGAGCUGGACUUGAGUGAUCCCAACGCUUUUCUCACCGAAAAGUGGCGGGUUACUUGAAAUGCAGGUGCAGCUGGACUUUUCUCUGAGCUAAAAGCAUAUCUAUUUAGUCUGCCUAAAAAACAGAUUAUUACCUUUGCUGCAGCUAACAUAAAGGAGAUUAGUUCUUGUGCUGACUGAUGCAGGAUUCACAGAGACAGCUUCGGCUGGCCUUUGUAAACUCGAUCUCAAAUCAAGUAAGACUACCCGCUGAACUUAAGCAUAUCAAUAAGCGGAGGA